rnacentral:rRNA from 1 species
GGGUACACGAGCGGCGAACGGGUGAGUAACACGUGGGUGAUCUGCCUCGCACUCUGGGAUAAGCCUGGGAAACUGGGUCUAAUACCGGAUAUGACCUUACAUCGCAUGGUGUUUGGUGGAAAGAUUUAUCGGUGCGAGAUGGGCCCGCGGCCUAUCAGCUUGUUGGUGGGGUAAUGGCCUACCAAGGCGACGACGGGUAGCCGGCCUGAGAGGGCGACCGGCCACACUGGGACUGAGACACGGCCCAGACUCCUACGGGAGGCAGCAGUGGGGAAUAUUGCACAAUGGGCGAAAGCCUGAUGCAGCGACGCCGCGUGAGGGAUGACGGCCUUCGGGUUGUAAACCUCUUUCGACAGGGACGAAGCGCAAGUGACGGUACCUGUAGAAGAAGCACCGGCCAACUACGUGCCAGCAGCCGCGGUAAUACGUAGGGUGCGAGCGUUGUCCGGAAUUACUGGGCGUAAAGAGCUUGUAGGCGGCUUGUCGCGUCGAUCGUGAAAACUUGGGGCUCAACCCCAAGCUUGCGGUCGAUACGGGCAGGCUUGAGUACUUCAGGGGAGACUGGAAUUCCUGGUGUAGCGGUGAAAUGCGCAGAUAUCAGGAGGAACACCGGUGGCGAAGGCGGGUCUCUGGGAAGUAACUGACGCUGAGAAGCGAAAGCGUGGGUAGCGAACAGGAUUAGAUACCCUGGUAGUCCACGCCGUAAACGGUGGGUACUAGGUGUGGGUUUCCUUCCACGGGAUCCGUGCCGUAGCUAACGCAUUAAGUACCCCGCCUGGGGAGUACGGCCGCAAGGCUAAAACUCAAAGGAAUUGACGGGGGCCCGCACAAGCGGCGGAGCAUGUGGAUUAAUUCGAUGCAACGCGAAGAACCUUACCUGGGUUUGACAUACACCGGAAACCUGCAGAGAUGUAGGCCCCCUUGUGGUCGGUGUACAGGUGGUGCAUGGCUGUCGUCAGCUCGUGUCGUGAGAUGUUGGGUUAAGUCCCGCAACGAGCGCAACCCUUAUCUUAUGUUGCCAGCGCGUAAUGGCGGGGACUCGUGAGAGACUGCCGGGGUCAACUCGGAGGAAGGUGGGGACGACGUCAAGUCAUCAUGCCCCUUAUGUCCAGGGCUUCACACAUGCUACAAUGGCCGGUACAGAGGGCUGCGAUACCGUGAGGUGGAGCGAAUCCCUUAAAGCCGGUCUCAGUUCGGAUCGGGGUCUGCAACUCGACCCCGUGAAGUUGGAGUCGCUAGUAAUCGCAGAUCAGCAACGCUGCGGUGAAUACGUUCCCGGGCCUUGUACACACCGCCCGUCACGUCAUGAAAGUCGGUAACACCCGAAGCCGGUGG